UUGGAUAUUUUGUAAUCUUGAGCAUUUUAUAUUUCUGUUUUGCAUGAACGUAGUGGCUGGCUGAAGGUUGUUUUGGCCGGUCGGUAGAAUAGCUGUUUCCUUCUGCAUGUUGUCAGUUUUGUUUAGCUGCCGAAUGACCUGGUUUCAGAUCGUGGGAUGGCGCGGUCAGUAGCCGAUCCGGGUUGCUCGUUCCGUUCAGUUGUGCAUGUAACAAACUCCGUUUUGGUGGAGGAGAAUAUAGAGUGAAAACAGAAAAGCAGCAGAGGUUGCGCUGCACAAAAAUUCUACUUUGUUCUUCAGUUCUUGACGUUUCCCGAACUUCUUGAGGUUACUAUCGUUGUCCGGCAAUUUUCAGAGUGAGCGAGUGUGAGCGAUUUCAGAGUUUGCUCUUUCCGUUUUGCUGACAAUUGGUAUCAGAGCGGUACCACGACGGUCCUGAGACGAUGUCUGAUGAUGGCGGGCGAUACACACCGCCCGGACGCCGUGGUGGCGGUGGCGGCGGCGGAAGCGGCAGCGGGCGCGGAGGCGCAAGUGGCAGCGGCGCGGGGGAUGGCGCAGACGGCGCGAACCUUCCUCUCGUGCCACAGGGGAGAGAUGCUGGGCACACUGCUCGCCUCCCGGUGCUGUCGAGGACCAAUUAUCCGGAUUGGGCAUUGUUGAUGCGUGUAAACCUACAGGCGCAGGGGUUGUGGACGGCGAUUGAACCCGGAUACGCGGAGUACCGCGACGAUCGGGCGGCUCUCUCGGCAAUCCUUCAGGCGGUGCCGCGCGAGAUGUUGCGCGGGCUGGCGAAGCAUGACACGGCGAAGGCGGCGUGGGACGCCAUCAAGACAAUGCGGGUCGGCGUCGACCGUGUGCGUGAGGCGAAGGAGUAGGGCUUCCGUCGCCAAUUCGAGGCGAUGCGCUUCAAGGAUGGAGAGACACCGGAGGAGUUCGCGAUGCGACUCACUGCCGUCGUCGCGGACAUUCGCGACAUGGGUGGAGUCAUGGAAGACGAACACAUCAACAAGAAACUGCUGCGCGUUGUGCCCAAGAAGUACAAGCCGGUGGCGAUUUCCCUCGAGCAGCUUCUCGACGUGAAAACGAUGGCCCUUGAGGAGCUCGUUGGGCGGCUGUCGAUGGUCAACUCAUACAGUGAUGAUGAGGAGGAAGGUGGCGGCGACAAGCUCUACCUCACGGAGGAACAGUGGCAGGCACGCGCAAGGAAACAGGAGCAGGAAGGCUCCGGCGGCAGCAGCAAGAGCAGGGGCAGCUCUGGCACCCAGAACAACCGUCGGGGCAAGGCCGGUGGGUCACCGAAGGGGAAGGAGACGAUCAACAGUGGGAACACCAGCCGUGACUACUCCAAGGUAAAAUGUUUCAAUUGUGAUGAGUUUGGGCAUUUUGCAAGGCAGUGCCGCAAGCCGCGGCGCCAACGUCGAGGGGAAGUAAACCUGACGCAGGGGGAGGAGGAGCCGACCUUGCUCAUGGCUCACGUCAUGGGGGUGUCUCUCGCCGGUGAGGAGACACUCGGGCGAACACCUGGUGUGCAUGAGGUGCAUCUCACUGAGAAAAAGGUGAUUCUGGAUCAUGAGGUUGCAGAAGAGGAGGAGGCCGGCUUGACGCGCGUGACUACGAUGCUCACAUAUACCAUGGUGUCUGCACGCUGCGUGAUCCUGAUGGUCUACUGCUUGCCAAGGUAAAGCGCUCCCCAAGCUUCCUGUACAUUCUGAAGUUGAACAUGGCGAGGCCCAUCUGUUUGGCGGCGAAUGGCACCGAGACGGCGUGGCGUUGGCACGCCCGUUUCGGCCACCUCAAUUUCCAGGCCCUCCGGAGAUUGGCGCAAGCGGAGAUGGUCCGUGGACUCCCCGUGAUUGACCACGUCGAUCAACUGUGUGAUGGGUGCCUCGCCGGCAAGCAGCGACGAGUGCCGUUCCCAGACAAAGCCAGGUUCAGGGCGCAGGAUGCGCUCGAGUUGGUUCAUGGCGACCUGUGCGGGCCGAUUGCGCCGGCAACGCCAGGCGGCAGGAAAUAUUUCCUGCUCCUUGUUGAUGACAUGAGCCGUUUCAUGUGGAUACGGCUCCUCUCCGGCAAGCACGAGGCAGCGGCUGCGAUCAAGCAGUUCAAGGCCGGCGUCGAGAUGGAAAGCGGCCGAAAACUGCGGGCGCUGCGCACCGACCGGGGAGGAGAAUUUACCUCUGUCGAGUUCACUGAGUUCUGUGCCGAUCGGGGUGUGAGUCGCCAGCUCACGGCUCCAUACUCGCCGCAACAAAAUGGGGUCGUCAAGAGGCGAAACCUGACUAUCGUCGCUGCUGCUCGCUCUAUGCUCAAGGCGGCGGGGAUGCCGGCACAUUUCUGGGGAGAGGCAGUCGUGGCGGCUGUGUAUCUAUUGAAUCGGUCGCCCACAAAGAGCCUGGAUGGUGUGACGCCAUAUGAAGCGUGGCACGGGCGACGUCCCUCGGUCGAACACCUGAAGGUGUUUGGCUGUGUCGGCUACGUCAAGACAGUGAAGCCAAAUUUGAGGAAACUUGAUGAUCGUGGCACACGAAUGGUGUUCAUUGGUUAUGAGCAGGGCUCAAAAGCCUAUCGGAUGUAUGAUCCGGUGUCACGGCGAGUUUAUGUGUCACGCGACGUCGUCUUUGAUGAGGCGGCAAUGUGGCCAUGGCGUGAUCCGGAGGUCACUCAAACUGGAGGCGAGGAGGAUUUCACUGUGGAGUUUUUUUCCACUCCGCUAGGUGGAAAUCGUGUUCCUGACGUGGUUGUGGAACAUGGAGGCGCACGGGAAACUGAAACCGCACCAAGUCCGCUGGCCACGCCCGACGCGGCGCCCGUGUGGUCUCCAGUGACAUCAAGCUCACCUGCCGGUGUUGAGUUCUGUACACCACCAUCUGAUGCCAGUAUUGAAAGCGAUGGAGCUCCUCCCCGUUUUCGGACGGUGAACAAUGUGCUGGCCACCACAACUCCGGUGCUCGAUUUCGACUACGACGACGAGUGUCUCAUAGCGGAGCAGGAGCCUUUCAGUUUCAAGGAAGCUGAGAAGGAGCAGUGCUGGAUGAAGGCGAUGGAAGAGGAGAUGAGCUCCAUUGAAGGUAACAAUACUUGGUUCCUCUGUGACUUACCAUCUGACCAUAGGGCAAUUGGUCUCAAAUGGGUUUACAAGAUCAAGAGAAGUGCCGAAGGUGAGAUAUUGAAGUACAAAGCAAGAUUGGUGGCAAAGGGGUAUGUUCAGCAACAAGGCAUAGAUUAUGAAGAAGUAUUUGCUCCAGUAGCAAGGAUGGAAACUGUGAGGUUGCUGGUUGCUUUGGCAGCACAUGAGGGUUGGCAAAUACAUCACAUGGAUGUGAAGUCAGCUUUCCUCAAUGGUGAAUUGGAGGAAGAGGUGUAUGUAGUCCAACCACCUGGUUUUGUUGUUGAGCACAAGGAGAACAAAGUACUGAAGUUAAAAAAGGCCCUAUAUGGUUUAAAGCAGGCGCCAAGAGCUUGGUAUGCAAAGCUGGAUUCUACACUUGCAAAUCUGGAUUUUGUAAGAAGUGCAACAGAGAAUGCAGUGUACACUAGAGGGGAAGGUAAUGCCAGACUCAUGGUGGGGGUAUAUGUUGAUGAUCUUAUCAUUACAGGAGCUUUGGGGACAGAAAUAGCAAAAUUCAAGGAGCAGAUGAGAAGUAUGUUUAGUAUGAGUGAUCUUGGAUUACUGUCCUAUUACCUGGGAAUGGAGGUUAAACAGACUGAAGAAGGCAUUACAAUGUCCCAAGCUGGGUAUGCAGGAAGAAUUUUAGAGAAGGCUGGGAUGCAAGGUUGCAAUCCUUGUCAGGUUCCUAUGGAUGCUAGACUGAAGCUGAAAAAAGGAGUAGAAGAUUGCAUUGAUGCAACACAGUUUAGAAGCAUUAUAGGAAGCCUGAGGUAUUUGGUUAAUACAAGGCCUGAUCUAUCCUACUCUGUUGGAUAUGUUAGUAGAUACAUGGAGAAUCCAGGUGCUGAACAUUGGGCUGCCAUGAAACAUAUUUUGCGCUAUGUGGCAGGAAGUCUGAAUAUUGGUCUCAAGUUCAGAAAGGGAGAAGAGAAAUUUCCUCGGCUAGUUGGCUAUAGUGAUAGUGAUAUGGCUGGGGAUGUGGAUGAUAGAAAGAGUACAACAGGGGUGUUGUUUAAGCUGGGAGAAAACUUAAUCACAUGGCAGUCUCAGAAGCAAAAAAUAGUUGCAUUAUCAUCUUGUGAAGCUGAGUAUAUUGCUGCUACAACUGCUGCCUGUCAGGGGAUUUGGUUAGCACGUUUGCUGGGAGAACUGCAAAUGAAGAAGCCCUGUUGUGCCAUGUUAAAAGUUGACAACAAAUCUGCAAUCAAUCUCUGCAAGAAUCCUGUACUUCAUGAUAGAAGCAAACACAUUGAUACAAGAUAUCAUUUCAUCCGUGAGAGGGUUGAAAGAAAGGAGGUCGAAGUGGAGUACACAAGUUCAGCAGAACAACUUGCAGACAUACUGACAAAGCCUCUUGGCAAGGUCCGAUUUCUGGAGCUGAGGGGAAAGCUGGGUUUGUCUCCAGUGUGAUGCGUCAAGAUUAGGGGGAGAAAUUGUUGGAUAUUUUGUAAUCUUGAGCAUUUUAUAUUUCUGUUUUGCAUGAACGUAGUGGCUGGCUGAAGGUUGUUUUGGCCGGUCGGUAGAAUAGCUAUUUCCUUCUGCAUGUUGUCAGUUUUGUUUAGCUGCCGAAUGACCUGGUUUCAGAUCGUGGGAUGGCGCGGUCAGUAGCCGAUCCGGGUUGCUCGUUCCGUUCAGUUGUGCAUGUAACAAACUCCGUUUUGGUGGAGGAGAAU
rnacentral:lncRNA from 1 species